UCACUCUUCAAGUUUGUAGUUCCACCCAACAAAAAAUCCAUAUUACUAUUUUCUUUCUCUAGACUUUCUCUCUCUAGACUUCUACUUUCCUCACUGGUUCAAUAAUGGGUUAUUGGGCUCUAAUUGUACUCCUCGUCUCCCUCUUCGCAACAUCAAAUGCCAAUUCAGAAGGUGAAACACACAUAACCUCGUGGUUUUCCUUUUCCCCAUGCAUUUGCAAGGGAGUUUGCAGGACAAGAAUUUAAUCUCUCUCUCUCUCUC
rnacentral:lncRNA from 1 species